rnacentral:rRNA from 1 species
UACGGAGGGUGCAAGCGUUAUCCGGAUUCACUGGGUUUAAAGGGUGCGUAGGUGGGCUUGUAAGUCAGCGGUGAAAUCUCCGGGCUUAACCCGGAAACUGCCAUUGAUACUAUAAGUCUUGAAUUAUCUGGAGGUAAGCGGAAUAUGUCAUGUAGCGGUGAAAUGCUUAGAUAUGACAUAGAACACCAAUUGCGAAGGCAGCUUACUACGGAUACAUUGACACUGAGGCACGAAAGUGUGGGGAUCAAACAGG